CAGAGGUGGGUUCCCCAGGCACAAACGGGGCCCCGGAGCUUGAGCGACAGGGCCAGCCUGCCAGCUGGGAGGAGUCCACCCCGGUCAAUGGACAGAGCCCUGGACAGUGGCCCCAGAGCUCCGCCCAGCCACCCAGCCCUGCCUGCACCUCCACCCAGUGGCCAAAGACCAAAGUGACGAGUGGACCAGAGACCUCAGCUAUGGCUGGUCUGGAGGAGAUGGGUCAGCUGGGGGGCAGGAGCCCUGCAGAGGAUCCCAGCUUGCCAGAGUGGGAGUUCCAAUCAGAGGAGCCUGAGGAGUCAGAACCAAGCAAAGGCCAAGACUCACUGACCAACCAGAAGCAGGCAGACUCGGUAGUUGGGUCACGGGUGUGGGCAUAUAGGGAGGUGAAGGGAAGGGAAAUCAGGUGGGAGGUGGGCUGAGGUCUUCUGAUGAGCUCUAGCGUCAUCCAGCCCAGGGUUGGCUCUGUCAUGGGGUCAUCUGCGUGCAUGGGACGGCCUCAAGAGGAGGGGCUCCAGAGGAGCUGGACAGCAGAGCCACCUUCUGGCUUGGGGACCUGAGCAGGUAAAUGAGCCCAGGGUCAGAAGCCCACGGCUCUGCUUUUGACUUGCCAGGAUGCCCUGAAAAGUUACUCCCCUUUUCUGGGCAAAUGGCAGUUUGACCCCGAUGGUGUCUGAAGGCAAGGACCUUCUGGUUCUGGAGGGCUGGCCAGGUGGGGGGAAGGGGUAGGGAUUCCAAGAGCUGGAGCCAGAGAACCACUGAAGAGGGACGAGGAGGUGCUGCCGUCUGCUGAGCCUGGAUGGUCUCCAGGGUCCGGGGCGGGAGAGAUAUGUGCAGGGGGUGGGACCCAGUGAGGCUGCUGGGAGGCCUGGCUGCAGCUGGAGCGCAGGGCUGCGCCCCGCCCCUCCCCGCAACCUGCCAAACAGACUGUUCUCAUCACCCUCGGCCUCCAGAGAGGUGAGGUCAGAGCUGACAGCCUGGGGCAGCGGGAGGCAGGGAGAAGGAGAUGGGCUGCUCGGGGCUGUGCUUUCCUCAUCCUGCUCUCGUUCUGCUGUUUCCCUGCUG
rnacentral:lncRNA from 1 species